UCGACUCUCUCUCCUUAGACUAUAAAUUUUGGUAUUUGAAUUAGUAACUAAAUACCAUGAAGUUUCAACUCUUUCGAAAUGUGUAUUCCUGCGUGCAGCAAGAUAUGCAUGAUUGAACAAGCUGGAUAAAGCAUAUAUUACACUGUAAUAAAGCAUGCCGCCAAUAUAAAUGAAGACCAAAUCAUAGAGUGAAUUUAUAGGUAUAUAGUACACAAAAGCUUAAAUUUUUAGAUGAAAUGAUCACAUAAUUCAACGUUUAUUAACUAGAGGUAUUCGCGCUCUGUGGAUUUUCUCCUUGAGAUUUCUUCGACUCAAAUUUUAGAAUGACCUUUUGCAUUGCAGCUUUGAAACUUUUCACCUUCUGCUUAUCAUCUGCUAACUCAUUCUUGUCAAUACUGCUUCUUAUGGUAAAAACACUUGACGACGACUCGUCUUCUUGGCUUCCAUGGAACUUGUAAAGCUUCACGUACUUCAUUAUGUUCUCCAGAAAAAUUCUAAUGUCGAAAGGGGGCUAUUUAUAGUAUGUGAAGAUUCGAAAUUGUGCAUAAAAGACAAAAGAAGAAAAAAAUAUAAGACAAAAAGAUGGAAGAAUCUAUUUAUAGUAUGUGAAGAUUCGAAAUUGAGCAUAAAAGACAAAAGAAAGUACAAAAGUUUCUGCUAAAAGAAAAAAAUAUAGUAAGAUAAAAGAUCGAAGGAUUUUGUUGGUAGUUAUUGGUUGUACCUUUCGUAACUAUUGAUAGAUGGAUCCAAACUAAGAUGUCAUUUUGCCGUGAUGGAAAAAA
rnacentral:lncRNA from 1 species